rnacentral:lncRNA from 1 species
GGGGAUGGGGGGGGGGGGGGAAAUGUGGAUUCUUUUAAGAAUGUGGAUAUUUGGGUCAUCUUUGGCGCCCCCUAGAACGUAAACCGUGGGGUGCAGCGUCAUGAUUUUUACAACUUUGAAUGGCCAUGGGGUGUAGAUUGGCCUGAGCAAAUUUGGUGUCAGUGGGACGAAAGCCUUAGGAGGAGUUAGCCACAUUCCAAUGUGUGCGAAUCGGCAAAAAAUGCAAAAUAGCCCUUUAACCGUACAUUUUACAGAUACGCGCGCAUUGACUUUUUCGUAGAUCUUAUUGAGAUACAUGUGAUUCUCAAAUUUUGUGUCAAUAUGACAAAGCGUACAGGUAUGACAGUCAACAAUGUGUAUUCUCACCUUAUGGGACAAGAAAAAAUGGACUUUUUUCUCCUGCCAUGGGGGGGCGCUCUUUUGGGGAGUAAAAAUUCCUUCACAAAUGUGUUGAUGGCUGGACAUUGCAUCAUCCUAGAAAACUUGGAGGCCAGUGAGGACAAAAAUAAAAAGUUAUAAGACUUUUAAAUAUGUGGAUUUUAGGGUUAUCUUUGGCGCCCCCUAGAACGUAAACCGUGGGGUGCAGCGUCAUGAUUUGAAUAACUUUGAAUGGCCAUGGGGUGUAGAUUGGCCUGAGCAAAUGUGGUGCCAGUGGAACGAAAGCCUUAGGAGGAGUUAGCCACAUUCCACUGUGUGCGGAUCGGCAAAAAAUGCGGAAUAACCCUUUAACCGUACAUUUGACAGAUACGCACGCAUUGACUUUUUCGUAGAUCUUAUUAAGAUACAUGUGUGUGUCAAUUUUUGUGUCAUUUUGACAAAGCGUACAGGCGUGACACUCAACAAUGUGUAUUUUCACCUUAGGGGACAAGAAAAAAUGGACUUUUUUCUCCUGCCAUGGGGGGGCGCUCUUUUGGGGAGUAAAAAUUCCUUCACAAAUGUGUUGAUGGCUGGACAUUGCAUCAUCCUAAAAAACUUGGAGGCCGGUGAGGGCAAAAAUAAAAAGUUAUAAGACUUUUAAAUAUGUGGAUUUUAGGGUUAUCUUUGGCGCCACCUAGAACCUAAACCGUGGGGUGCAGCGUCAUGAUUUGAAUAACUUUUAAUGGCCAUGGGGUGUAGAUUGGCCUGAGCAAAUGUGGUGCCGGUGGAACGAAAGCCUUCGGAGGAGUUAGCGAAAUUCCAAUGUGUGCGGAUCGGCAAAAAAUGCGAAAUAACCCUUUAACCGUAAAUUUGACAGAUACGCCCGCACUGACUUUUUUGUAGAUCUUAUUGAGAUACAUGUGUGUGUCAAUUUUUGUGUCAUUUUGACAAAGCGUACAGGCGUGACAGUCAAUAGUGUGAAUUUUCACCUUAGGGGGCGCUAUGGAGCCAUUUUGCAUUUUAUUGUUUGGGCGACUUCAGAAUAUCAAAUUUUUCACCAGGCCCGGUCGUCCUGCCAAAUUUCAUGAGUUUUCGCCAGUGGGAAGUGGGCCAUUUUCCAGUUCAAAGGGGAGGAAAAAUAAUAACUAGGACCCCGUUGGGGCACUGGCGGGCCCAACCGUGUCGCGUCCCCCCCCCCCGUCCCCCCCCCCCCCCAACGUGCUGCCUUCCCGUCCCAUUUGUGUCCUCUGGCCAUCGCCCUCUCUGGUAACGCCCAUCACUGCAAAGACCCUUUUCCUUCAUCGGCGUUUGCUGUUCUUCCUGCCAGUGCGUGUUGCUUUCACUUACACUUGCCACAGCCAGCCUCGUGAGUGCCUAGCCUAUUGGAUAUCACUGUCACCUACACAGGACAGUCAUUACCUUUCUAUUAAUACUUUGUGUUUUAAUUUCACAUUAAUUUCCAUAUUGUAUAAACGACUGGAAAAAACUUGAGCCCCUGCCCCUGUAUAAUCAUGUGCAUGUCUCUGUUCUAGCUCCAAGGUGAAUCUUCACUGCUCAUGUUCUCCUCAGAAGCACUCACCUCACUCCCCUCAGGUUACUGUACACAUGCACCAACUGCCUGCUUCAGGUUUGGAUGGAGCUUCAUGGUUGUCUUUUGGAGAAAUGACCAGUCAAGUUGUGUUUGAAAUUUGAUUUUUUUCAGGGGCAAAAGGAGCCUCUGCAUUCUUGUCAAAUAUGUAAAUAGCAUGUUU